AUGGUGGCCUGCUCCUUGCCCAGCCCUCCAACAACUGUUUCUUCUGUUUCAGGAGCCUUGGAAUUCCUGCCAGGGAAUGGGCAGUCAGUCAUUGGAGCUGCAGGGCUGCCUGGAAGCAUGGCUCAUCCCAGCACAGCAGGUUGGAGCAUGUGGGCCAGAUGCAGCUUUGCCAUCACACCUGCUCUCAGGAAGAGCUCUUCCUGCUCAGCUGUGACAAACCCAGCAGCAGCUUAGUGUUGAUGGGGGUAGCCAGCCCCUUAAGUGUGUGGUUCUGUGUGUACUGAUUGUUUAAAUAAAACAUCUCUGCACAGAACA
rnacentral:lncRNA from 1 species